ensembl:lncRNA
CUGAAAAUGCGUUGCUGCUUAGCAAUUAGUUAUCAAAGGGACCACCUGGCAUUUAAAGAACAAACAUAUUUUUCUUUGAGAUAAAAAAGAUUAUGCUCUACUACAUAUCCUUUGCUCUUCACAUCUAAAUAGUAACUUGAACAACCUUAGGUCCACUCUUUUUCUGCCUCUGUAGAACACAGAACUCUUGAAACAAAGAACAGCUUUUAGCUUGGCUGCCACUUUUAAGCAAAGGUGAUCCUGCCUUGCUUUUCAGAAUCAGAGCCGCCUGCUGUAACGUAGAGGGAGCCACUGAGCAACAGCUGCUGAUAAAAGGGAGCAGAAAGAAAGUUAAAAUAGUGAGAGCUGUAGAAGUCUCAGUUAUAAGUUCCCAAACAACCUUAUGGAUCAUGCAGGUUGGUGCUCUGCGCUCCAGCUGGCACCCAUCUCUAACAUGAUAAGAGCCAUAGGGGAAGGAGAUUGCAUCUUGAUCAUCGGACCAAGUCUUUCAUCAUUCUCCAGCACACCUACCUUACAACUAAGAUCCAGUGGUACAUGGGCAGACCUUGACUAAACAUAAAAAUCAUUAAGAGUUAACCUGGUGUGAAUUGAAGGUCAUGAACAUCGCGUGUGGUAAUGAUCACUUGUGCUUUUAUUUGGAAGUUGCUGCUUAUCUUGUUGAUUGGAUCUGUGGUGGAUUUUUUCUUGAAUUGUGAAGUAACAUGAAUAUGUUGUUCAAUGACAUAUUUUCUGAAGACUUGCAGUAGGAGCAGUAUUAUUUGCAUCGCGUGUGGGGUUCUGCUCUAGAACUGGAGUGCUCCGAAGUGCUGCCCAAGUGCAAAUAAAUGAAUUCCAUCUUUAGCUGGCAUUUCAUGUACACUGUGACUAUCAAGCUAUCACAGUAGAAAAUACCAGAUGAUUUUGUAAGUAUGCUGUACUUGAAAGCCCAGGUUCUGCAAAUAUGUAUGCUGAAGUAGUGGAACUGCUCAGAAAGGAAGGCUAUUGGUAAUGCAGGGUUUCAUUGUGGUGUGAUUAGGUCUCAGGCAGAGACAGGAUUUUGCAAAGAAAGCUCAAGUUCAAACUCAUUUUCCGUAGUCCUUCCUAAGCAAACAUUAAUGCUAAUAUUUUGAACUACUAGCCUGUAAAUCUGAGAAACUGACAUAUAUGCAAUAAUCCCUUUUAAAAAAAAGUAGGCUUCAUACUGUUGUGAAAAGUACUUAAUAAAAUGUGACAGGAAUUGAAGCUGACCUGAACCUCAGGAGAAUUUUUCUCUUGAGAUCAGAAAGCCAGGUUUAAUUAGAAUAAAACCAUUGUGGUUUUAACUAGGGAGACCUCAGGAAUGAUGAUCAAAGAAGGUAGAAAGGAGUUGGAAGGAUCUCUGCUUCUGCCUGUUGUGUCCUUGCAUGCGAGUCCUCGGUUCCACUUAAUUCAUCAUCUUUCUGAGUUACAGUGACCCCUCUCAUGUCUACGUGACAGCAAAAGCCUCACAAGAACUUUAGUACUCGCUGCGUUCCUUGCCUGAGCUGUGAGCUUCUUGCUAUGGCUCUGACAGGAAAUACACCCUGCGCUCUCUGACCUUCCUCUCCUCCAGCCCAGUUUGGGGCAUCUCAGAGAAGGAAGAUCUCCCUCCCUCAACUGGAGAGUCCAGGGGAAAGUCAGUCAAUCACUUAAAAGAAAGUAGCAUAGAAUUUGGAACAUAAUAAAUACUGUACUGUCUGAAAGUAAAUUAUUUUUGUCUUGCUUGUGCCUAUUUGGUGUCUUUGAGAAGCUGACUGUCAUUAGGUGUACGCAAGGUGCAAGAGAAUGUGAAAAUGGGGGCUUGGUAGUAAGUUUUAGUCAGCUCCAGACUAGGCUGCUGAUAGAGGGAGCACAGAGGAAUUUGAAGAGUCGAGUGCAGAGGGAGGACCACACAGCUUCUUCUUCAGGUCUCUUCACUUCAAUCCAGCGAUACUAUCUUCCAAUGAUAUAAUUUGUACGUGUAUUAUCUUUGUAGCUACAAGGAGUGUAAAUAUAGGAAGUGUGUUUGCUAUGUUAAAAUUUUUGUACAUGCUUUUAGGCAACUAAGGAAUACAAUAUCUGUUUUGACAUUGUAUAAGCAAUUUUGAGUAGCUGAAGUAAGUACCCGUCUGACAUUGUGGCUGACUCAUCACAGAGAUCAACAUGCUUUAAAGAAAGUAAUUCUACUUGUUUUUUGAUCUUUCAGUAGAUGAUACCGAUAUCUUUUUUCUACCUCUUUAAAGAUUGCAUUGAAAUAUGGUUAGCCAUUGUAAAACAUGAAAGAUGCAGAAAAGUGAUACUAGGGAAAGGAAUGAUCUUUUUUUUUGUGGAAUCUGACCCUGAAUCAAUGGUAUGUUGUAGUAUUUCCUAUUUGCUUUGGAUUUUGAUUACCCAAAGUGAUUAGCCCUGAGUUUGCCUUCAGAUGCUGGCAGGUCCUCUUAAAGGAAUGAUGCCAGGCAUCAAAAACACGUGUAGCUGCAUCUCUAGAUUUACUUACGCUUUUGUAGCUAUGUUUUUUUUUCAUGCAGAUUCUUAUGCAUGAGCCAAGCUCAUAGGAAUCCUCUGCAUAUACAAACAAAAGCUUUGAAUUUGGAAUGUAGCAGUUGCUGACCUGUGUGAAUAGGUCAUGAAAGCUUCAUUCUAAACUAAAGGUUGACUUAGAUCUCAAGGUACAAUUUCUCCAAAUGUCAUAAUUUUAGUAAUACUUGAGUUAACUCAUGGAUUUUCUUUUUGUUUAUAUAAAUGUUCAUCCCUCUUUAGCAUUUAGCCACGUAGCCAAAUUUAAAUGUUUCCUUGCAGCAGUGACUUCCAAAUAUAUUGUUGUACUUUGUUUUCCCUUGCUUUUAUGUUUACAUGUGGGAAAACAGAAGCCUUCAGUAUGACUAUUCUAUUAUUCUUUUUUAUUUUUAAUUAGGUGGUACUAAGGAAGCCAGUCUUUUUUGGUUGUUUUCUUUUUCUUUUUUCUCUCUCUCCCCUUUCUUGAGGUUUUUUCAUUAUUCAGAUAGCUUUCUGCCACUCUUCUUUGCACUUUCCACUCUGUACUUGCAGUUUCUGCAGAUGUUGGUUGAUAUGAAAAUGAUAGCAUAGAAUUUAUCUCUGGGCAGUAGGAUAGGGGGAGAUAAUAGUGUAACUCCUCUUUAGCCCUGUUGGUGUGAAUACUAAUGCUCCAUUUUAGUUGUGUCUUCUUAUGAUACCCAGGUCCACUUCCUAACCUAGUACAAUAUAUUUUAAACUCUGUAAGGUAUAGUAUUUAUCACUUUUCUCUG